rnacentral:rRNA from 1 species
UGGGGAAUAUUGCACAAUGGAGGGAACUCUGAUGCAGCGAAGCCGCGAGAACGAAGAAGGCUUUCGAGUCGUAAAGUUCUUUUAUAGGGGAAGAUAAUGACGGUACCAUAAGAAGAAGCCCCGGCUAACUACGUGCCAGCAGCCGCGGUAAUACGUAGGGGGCUAGCGUUGUCCGGAAUCACUGGGCGUAAAGGGUUCGCAGGCGGAAAUGCAAGUCAGGUGUAAAAGGCAGUAGCUUAACUACUGUAAGCAUUUGAAACUGCAUAUCUUGAGAAGAGUAGAGGUAAGUGGAAUUUUUAGUGUAGCGGUGAAAUGCGUAGAUAUUAAAAAGAAUACCGGUGGCGAAGACGACUUACUGGGCUCAUUCUGACGCUGAGGAACGAAAGCGUGGGUAGCAAACAGG